rnacentral:rRNA from 1 species
UACGGGGGGAGCAAGCGUUGUUCGGAUUUACUGGGCGUAAAGGGCGCGUAGGCGGCCACCGCAAGUCGACUGUGAAAUCUCCGGGCUUAACCCGGAAAGGUCAGCCGAUACUGCGGGGCUAGAGUGCAGAAGGGGCAACUGGAAUUCUCGGUGUAGCGGUGAAAUGCGUAGAUAUCGUAAGGAAGACCAGUGGCGAAGGCGAGUCUCUGGACAGCAACUGUCGCUGAGGCACGAAGGCCAGGGGAGCAAACGGG